CUAUGCGCCUUCGCCACGCCCCGCUCAGAAACUACAAAUGAAUUGACGGACCCCGCACAAGCGGUGGAUCAUGUUGUUUAAUUCGAUGAUACGCGAAGAACCUUACCAGGUCUUGACAUCCCCCCGCGAUGCUUUAGAGAUAAAGCGGAGGUAUUCGGGGAGACAGGUGGUGCAUGGUUGUCGUCAGCUCGUGUCGUGAGAUGUUGGGUUAAGUCCCGUAACGAGCGCAACCCUUGUCCUUAGUUACCAGCACGUUAUGGUGGGCACUCUAAGGAGACUGCCGGUGACAAACCGGAGGAAGGUGGGGAUGACGUCAAGUCAUCAUGGCCCUUACGGCCUGGGCUACACACGUGCUACAAUGGUCGGUACAAAGGGUUGCCAAGCCGCGAGGUGGAGCUAAUCCCAUAAAACCGAUCGUAGUCCGGAUCGCAGUCUGCAACUCGACUGCGUGAAGUCGGAAUCGCUAGUAAUCGUGAAUCAGAAUGUCACGGUGAAUACGUUCCCGGGCCUU
rnacentral:rRNA from 1 species